rnacentral:rRNA from 1 species
CCCAGCACCGAAGCCUGUGGUCAUUUGGCCAUUAGGCAAUGUGGUGUUUAGGUCGUUCCGCAGGGACACUGCUCCUCUCUAAGUCCAUCAAUGAGUACGGUUGUACUGACAUGGCCCAUGGAGGGUGAAAGGCCCGUGAGAGAGGAGUUUUGUUGUGACAGUGUCCCUCUGGAUUGACCUUGGAGUCGGGUUGUUUGGGAAUGCAGCCCUAAGCGGGUGGUAAACUCCAUCCAAGGCUAAAUACAAGCACGAGUCCGAUAGCGAACAAGUACCGUGAGGGAAAGUUGAAAAGUACUUUGAAGAGAGAGUAAACAGUGCGUGAAACCGCUUAGAGGUAAACGGGUGGAGUUGAACUGCAAUCUCUGAGAAUUCAGCUGGGGAAAUUUGCUUGAGCUUGGUCAUUUGGGCAGGGCCUCGAGGUAUGCUUAGCUGCAUGUCCUGAUCUCACGGUCGGGAUGCGCGUUGCUCUUAUCAAGGGUUGCGCGCCUCGGGUGUCCGGCUGGCUCGUUCGCCAGUGCACUUUCUCAGAGUGAUCAUCACGACCGGCGCUGCUGCUGGGCUGUUUUAGUUAAAUCGGACAUUCAUCGUCCUUGUGGCGUUGGGUGGUCGACACGGCAGGUAACUGAGUGCUCGCUUCGGCUUGCUUUCCGGUGUAUGCUGGCUCUAACGGUUCUGUGCGGUGUGUCGGAGACGGCGGCUUGUGGUGUGUGCAUGUGUGCCUAUCUGGUGGCAUAUUCUGGUUUGGUAGCUGUGUGCUUGUUCAAGCAGGCCCAGUUAUAGCUGGAGUGUGUCAUUGGGUGGUUGCGUGUGUGUCACUUUUCAGGGCCAACAGUCUGUGAUGUCGUGGUAGACUAUCCACCUGACCCGUCUUGAAACACGGACCAAGGAGAGUAACAUGUACGCGAGUCAUUGGGCGUAACGAAACCCACAGGCGCAGUGAAAGUAAAGGUCUGGCUUGUCCAGUCUAAGGUGAGAUCCUGUCGUUGCUCAUGCGCGGUACCCCCAAGCUUGGAGCGAUAGGCGCAUCACCGGCCCGUCCCAUGACGUGGUCACAGUCCUCGGAUUGUGCGCCGUCGGGGCGGGGCAUGAGCGUACAUGUUGAGACCCGAAAGAUGGUGAACUAUGCUUGCGCAGGUUGAAGCCAGAGGAAACUCUGGUGGAGGACCGCAGCGAUUCUGACGUGCAAAUCGAUCGUCAAACGUGAGUAUAGG